rnacentral:misc_RNA from 1 species
UUUUGUAAAGGUAAACUGAAAGACCUUGACUGAAAUAUAUGCGGGUGUUAUAUAAGGAAGACACAGUUCAGUAUUGUCAGUAUCUUCACACAGCAACACAGGAGUAAGAUACAUUGUUUCAGCAUCAACAAUGAUUCUGAAGUUGGCUGUGUUCGUCACGCUGGUAUGUGUCACCCAUGCAGCGCCAGUACCAGUACAAGCGGCCACUUCGUUUCUAGAACUGCUGAAGCAUGUGCCUACGGGGGGUGGCAGCAUUCUUUCAGACGUUCUUGCUUCUAUUAGACCAGAAGACUUACUGAAGAAUCG